GACGAACGCUGGCGGAGGCUUAACACAUGCAAGUCGAGCGCCCCGCAAGGGGAGCGGCAGACGGGUGAGUAACGCGUGGGAAUCUACCCAUCUCUACGGAAUAACGCAUGGAAACGUGUGCUAAUACCGUAUACGUCCUUCGGGAGAAAGAUUUAUCGGAGAUGGAUGAGCCCGCGUUGGAUUAGCUAGUUGGUGGGGUAAAGGCCUACCAAGGCGACGAUCCAUAGCUGGUCUUAGAGGAUGAUCAGCCACACUGGGACUGAGACACGGCCCAGACUCCGACGGGAGGCAGCAGUGGGGAAUAUUGGACAAUGGGCGCAAGCCUGAUCCAGCCAUGCCGCUUGAGUGAUGAAGGCCCUAGGGUUGUAAAGCUCUUUCACCGGUGAAGAUAAUGACGGUAACCGGAGAAGAAGCCCCGGCUAACUUCGUGCCAGCAGCCGCCGUAAAAC
rnacentral:rRNA from 1 species